UACGGAGGGAGCUAGCGUUGCUCGGAUUUACUGGGCGUAAAGGGCGCGUAGGCGGUCAGCACAAGUCAGUUGUGAAAUCUCCGGGCUUAACUCGGAAAGGUCAACUGAUACUGUGCGACUAGAGUGCAGAAGGGGCAACUGGAAUUCUCGGUGUAGCGGUGAAAUGCGUAGAUAUCGAGAGGAACACCUGCGGCGAAGGCGGGUUGCUGGGCUGACACUGACGCUGAGGCGCGAAGGCCAGGGGAGCGAACGGG
rnacentral:rRNA from 1 species